rnacentral:rRNA from 1 species
CACGUAGGGCGCGAGCGUUGUCCGGAAUCAUUGGGCGUAAAGCGCACGUAGGCGGCCUGUUAAGUCGGGUGUGAAAGCCCUGGGCUCAACCCAGGAAGUGCACUCGAAACUGGCGGGCUUGAAUAUGGAAGAGGGUCGCGGAAUUCCCGGUGUAGAGGUGAAAUUCGUAGAUAUCGGGAGGAACACCAGUGGCGAAGGCGGCGACCUGGGCCAAUAUUGACGCUGAGGUGCGAAAGCGUGGGGAGCAAACAGG